CAAAGUAUACAAAGAGCUGGUAAUUCACCAGCUCUUGUCACCUAAAUAGCUCCAAAAGUAUGAUAGUAGCAGAAAAAUGGAUAAGGAAAAAUUUGCAUGAAAAUUUCAGGACUACAAUAUGACAUUAAUAUUUUUUUGCUAGCUGACAAGAAGAAUCCAAUGAUGUGCAAUAUUAAAUAUAAAACCUGACAAUGAUCAAUAAAAACUAUUUAGAAAAUAUCUGUUCCAUCCGUUGUCGGAACAACUAAAGGAUGACAAAACCCUGACGCGACCAUGAUGCAGAAGAACUGUAUUGUGGCUAGCUUGUUCGCCAGUUUUGACUUUCAAUGUUGUUUAAUAAUUUAUCUUGAUUAAAAAGAAAAGCAAAAGAAUAAUAUAAAUAUAAUUAUAAAUACGAGCAAAUCAAAGGAAUUUAUAAAAGAAUGAAUAUGGGGCAUUAGCUUAAUAAACUUUAUCUACCAUUAAAUCAUUAUUUAUUUAGUUGCUUUAUUGUUAUAUGUCAUAUAAUAGUUUUGUAUCAUAUAUCGCAAUUAUCAUAAAUCAAAUUUGAAAAUAGGCUUUAAAUUAUAACAAUAUAUCUUAGAGAAUAAUUGAAGCGCUCCCUGGAAUAUAGGUCAAAGUCCUCAUAUGAUUUUUCAUGAGCUUAAUUGAAACUUAUACGGGGACCGUUUCAAUUAUAAUGUAGUAUCGUCGUUAUGUAUUGAACACUUGCCGAAAUCCCCGUCAAGGUUUUCAAAUGUUCAAUUAAAAUGAACAUUUCAUAUAUCGAGUGUAUCUAUAUUACUUAGUAUAUCCUAGUAGUACAGCCGAGACAGCAGGUGACACAUUCCUAUAUGCACCCUCUUUUCCUCUAAUUGUUUUUUCUUUUUUUUAAUAAUAAUCAUAAUAUAAUAAUAAACAUUACCACCACAGCAAUAAUAGUAUUACAAUAGCACUGUCGCUAAGACACGCUCAAUUAUAUUACGUGUUGGCGGUCCGCUACCACUUUAAUGAUGAACAGUAUUCAUUGAUCUGAAUAGGAAUUCAGUAUACGUAAUAUAAUGUAUUAUUAAUACAAUCUUAUGUGUUGGUUCAUACCAAAACAUCAUUGCUUACGUAGAUUGGGUUUUAAGAGCCUGGUCAUUUCCUUGCGUUGUGCUCAAGUAUAAAUUUCUCUUUGCUAACAGUCAUACGAUAAUCUGUGCACGUAAUAAACUGUCACAUGGUGGUGAUUAUUAUCUUGUUAAUAAGGACAAUCUGAAAAUAAUAUAUCCGUAUAUGCUUGCGUCAGAGAAUGGUGAACUAAAGCUCCGAACUAGCAUAGUUAUUGAAUAAUGCCAAUGCAACACCAAAAGUGCGCGUUCGUUGCAAUCUAUACAAUCUGUUCGCUAUAGGUUUUUCAUUAUCAUCGCUGCUAACAAUGAUAU